ensembl:ncRNA B0379.8 ncRNA
GGAUAUUAGACGGAUUUGCGAGAAUUGCGUGCGACGAUGAUAUGGGACUGAGAAAUAACGACAUGUUGACAAACAAU